rnacentral:rRNA from 1 species
AGUUCGGAUUGUAGUCUGCAACUCGACUACAUGAAGCUGGAAUCGCUAGUAAUCGCGAAUCAGAAUGUCGCGGUGAAUACGUUCCCGGGUCUUGUACACACCGCCCGUCACACCAUGGGAGUUGGGAAUGCCCGAAGCCGGUGACCUAACCGAAAGGGAGGAGCCGUCGAAGGCAGGCUUGAUAACUGGGGUGAAGUCGUAACAAGGUAAC